UUUGAACGAGCGGCGGCUGUUCGGAGCUGUUUCGGUGUGUGUGAGCUGCAGCUCUCGGAGCAGACGGUGGAUCAUCCACAGAGCAGCCGCGCGACGCUCGCAGGGUUGACCUUUGCUCUUUAACGUUGGCGUGAACGCUGACCUCUCACCCGCCUCUGGCUAGCUUGUGCCUGCGCCGUUACUAUGGUGACGCUCCGCGGCCGGGGAAGAGGGGACGCGGAUCGGAGAAGCGGAACUUCGGUCCGGUGUGAGGCGGAGACCCGGAGCAGGAGGACGGCGCACCGGCCACAGAAGUCCGGGCGGCCCAGUGUGAAUGGAUUUAAAGCUGAGGAUGAAGGGCCGAAUCUGACUGACUCAGAAGCUCACAAGGAUGAAGAAGAGAGACCAGCGCAGACCAUCAUGAGGAAAUCUCCGAGGCUCCAGAACCGCUCAGGUGGCAGACUGAGGAGAAGCACGAGGAUGAGCAAAGUGACGAGCAGGUACGAGGCCUCCAACAUGUUUGACGGCAUCAGCAACAACACUGCCAGCUCGGUCCUGAAGAGGAUGGACAGCAUGAAGAAGAAGAGGUGGCUCAGUAACAACAAGGAAGGGAGGAUCUACUCCAAAGCCCAGAGAAGUAAAACACCAGUCCCACUACAGAGAGAGCUCGGCAAAGGCGACCGAGGUGGCAUCGCUGACGAGGACAGCAGGCAGGGAGUAGCUGCAGAUGAAGACAGCGUCAGCCGCAAUGUUGACGCCAAACUGAGCCGAGCCUCAUCGCUGUACCAAGGUCCGAGCAGAGAAUUCCUGGGAGGAACCUUCAGGAUCAGCACCUCAGGACCAAACAUGAACCGCAGAGGAGCCUUCAGAUCCACUAAGAGCACCUGGUCCAAACAGUCUGAUGAAGACUCUGAUGAUGAAGAGGAGAAGGCCCCUGGGAGCUGUCUCCCACUCAGCUUGCAAACGGGGGACCUUCUUGGAACGGGCAAAGAGAAGAUCGCUGCAGGAGCGCUUCUGGCAGACAUCGAUCCCAUGGCCAUCGAUCAGUCGGUGGGUUUUGGCAGUAUUGGAGGUCUGUCAGGUCACAUCUCAGCUCUGAAGGAAAUGGUCAUCUUCCCGCUUCUCUAUCCUGAGGUCUUUGACAACUUCAAGAUUCAGCCUCCCAGAGGUUGUCUGUUUUACGGCCCUCCUGGGACGGGGAAGACGCUGGUUGCCCGGGCGUUGGCCAACGAGUGCAGCCACGGCAACAGGAAGGUAUCCUUCUUCAUGAGGAAGGGGGCCGAUGUCCUGAGCAAGUGGGUGGGCGAAUCGGAGCGGCAGCUGCGGCUGCUGUUUGAGCAGGCGUACCAGAUGCGCCCGUCCAUCAUCUUCUUCGAUGAGAUCGACGGCCUGGCUCCGAUCCGAUCCAGCAGACAGGACCAGAUCCACAGCUCCAUCGUGUCGACGCUCCUCGCUCUGAUGGAUGGGCUCGACAGUCGGGGGGAGGUCGUCGUGAUCGGAGCGACAAAUCGGCUCGACUCCAUUGACCCGGCGCUGCGGCGGCCCGGACGCUUCGACCGGGAGUUCAUGUUCGGCCUGCCUGACAGAGAGGCUCGUAAAGAGAUUCUGAAAAUCCACACUCAGCAGUGGAAACCUCCUCCUUCUGAAGAUUUUCUCGAUCAACUGGCUGAGAAAUGUGUUGGUUACUGCGGUGCCGAUAUCAGGGCGGUGUGCACUGAGGCGGCAUUGUGCGCUCUGCGCCGACGCUACCCACAGAUCUACGGCACCUCCCAGAAGCUCCUGCUGGACGUCUCCUCCAUUGCCGUCAACAGCUGCGACUUUGUGGCAGCCAUGAGGAAGAUGUCGCCCGCCUCGCACCGCUCCGUCGCCUCCCCGGCCAAGCCUCUGUCCCCUGUGGUUCGACCACUUCUGCACAGCGCCCUGCAGGACACCCUUGAUGCUCUGCAGAAGAUGUUUCCACAUGCUGAGCAGGGCAUGAAGAGGAAGAGGGAACCAGGUGAGUCAGAGCCAAAUGCCAAAGAAACAUCUGCUGGGCAAACACAUCACUUCCUGUUUACAAACGUUUAUCUGCUGUUUCCUGUGUCAGAUCUGACCUCAGGUAUCCUCGACGAUGGGCUGAUGUGUGGAGCAGAUGAGGGCCCCAGCAUCUCCAAACCCUCCAAGAACAAGAACUUCCUGCACUUCACCAGGAGCGCCGUCAAACACCCGACAUCUCACCGCCCCCGGAUUCUGCUGGUCGGGCGUCCCGGCGCUGGUCAGACCUCCCACCUGGCCCCCGCCAUCCUGCACGCUCUGGAGCGUUUCACCGUCCACAGCCUGGACUCAGCGGUGCUGUUUGGCGUCAGCAGCACCUCCCCAGAGGAAGCCUGCGCACAGGUGUUCUGCGAGGCCAAGCGGACAUCUCCCAGCAUCCUCUAUGUCCCCCACAUCCAGCAGUGGUGGGAGACAGUGGGAUCGGCGCUCAGGGCAUCCUUCCUCAGCCUGCUGGGCAGUAUCCCUUCCUUCUCUCCCAUCCUCCUCCUCGCCACGUGCAGCGUCCCCUUUCAGCAGUUGGACCCAGAGAUCCAGAGUCUGUUUCGGGAGGACUACGGUGAGGUUUACACCCUUGGAGUUCCCACCCAACAGGAGAGGACCGCCUUCUUCCAGGAUCUCAUUCUGAACCAGGCGGCCGAGCCACCUCCCUCCAAGAAAGAAACACUGUCUCAGGCCAUGGAGAUUCUCCCCCUGGCUCCACCACCUCCUCCUCGCAAGCUGUCAGAGCAGGAGCGCCUCCGCCUGGAGGUACAGGAGGAGGAUGUGCUGCGAAAGCUCCGCCUCUUUCUGCGAAACAUCACCGAGCGCCUGAUUCUGGACUGCCGCUUCAAAGCCUUCACCAAACCGGUCGACAUCGAGGAGGAGAGUUUGAAAGACAGAGAAGCUGAGGUCCCAGACUACCUGAUGGUGAUCAAGAAGCCCAUGGACCUCUCCACGCUGCUCACCAACAUCGAUGAGCAGAAGUACAUCACCGUCGGCGAAUUCAUGGCAGAUGCUGACCUCAUCUGGAAGAACGCUCUCGAUUACAACCCGGACAGCGACCCAAUGGACCGGAGCAUCCGCCACCGUGCGUGCGCCCUGAAGGACGUGAUCCGAACCAUCAUUAGAGAUGAGCUGAAUGAAGACUUAGAGAGAGCCUGCGAGGAGAUCCGAGAGUCGCGCAUCCAGAGAGCUCUCAUCGAGGCCAACCCAGAGGAGGCCGACGGCGUCUGCAGCUCUGCGUUCUUACAUCCUGGACGCCGAUUUGGUAAGAAAAAAUUUUACAGGCGACCCCGGAAGUCCAAGUGGAGCAACGGGGUCAUUAAGAAACCCAAGAAGAAGAAGAAAGAGGAGCCACCCAUCCCAGCCUCCUCCUCCUCCUCCUACUCUUCCUCCUUCACCUCCCUGUCCUCCAUGUCCAGCAAGUUGAGCACAGAGGAUAUGAGAGCUGCUGGAACCAGAGGCGUCAGUGGAUCUGCUGGUUCUGACUCAUCCAGCCCAUCAGAGAGCAGUGAAGGUGAGCAGCUUCACCUGAGCAGGUACCAUCGCACCUUAAGCCGUGUCACAAGAGCCCAGAAUGGAGUCAUCGCGAAUGGGUACCACCACGCCGAGCCGGUUCUGCUCCAGCUGGCCCACCCUGCAGGAGGGCGUCCUCCACCCCCGGGAACCAUGCUGACCUGGGAGAGCUUGGACAGUUUAGGUCUGUAUGUCUCACAACGGUGUGAGCACGAGCAGUGCAAGCACCUCGCCAUACUAACUGGUCUCCAUCAGACAGCUUCAGAGUGCUGCUGCUGAACAGGCUUCGACAGGCUUCACACUCUGAGGCUCUGCGGUACUAUAGGCAGUGAGUUGAGAGCUGGAGGCGUUAACUAGCAACAACCUCCAGGGCAAAAAACUGCAGCUCCUCUGAUGUCCACUCGAGGCUGCAAAAGUGAGUUGGAGCAGAUUCACUGUUUUUGUACGUAAUCCAGAUCCAUGGUGCUAAGUGUCAGAGUUAGCUGGGCUUUGCCUCAGCUCAUUGGAGUCCCUGAACUGGACUGUGUUUGUGCUGCUGGAGCCUGUUUUAAUACCAAUAAUAUGGCUUCUGUGUGGUUAAAUGUACUAACAGACCAUCCGGGAAGGCUGAGCUCCAAUUUGGAGAAGAGCAAAGCUUUUGAGCUGAGAGCCAACAAGGUGGCCUUGGAGCAGAUGCAGCUGUUCAGCAGGGACAGAACGGAGGAGGUCCCGGAUGGAGAAACUCCACCGCUGAUCGUCGACCACAGCAAACUGAG